AUUGAACGCUGGCGGCAGGCCUAACACAUGCAAGUCGAACGAGUGGCGGACGGGUGAGUAAUGUCUGGGAAACUGCCUGAUGGAGGGGGAUAACUACUGGAAACGGUAGCUAAUACCGCAUACCAUCAGAUGUGCCCAGAUGGGAUUAGCUAGUUGGUGGGGUAAAGGCUCACCAAGGCGACGAUCCCUAGCUGGUCUGAGAGGAUGACCAGGCAAACUGGAACUGAGACACGGGCCAGACUCCUACGGGAGGGAGCAGGGGGGAAUAUUGCACAAUGGGGGCAAGCCUGAUUGAGCCAUGCCGGGUGGAUGAAGAAGGCCUUCGGGUUUUAAAGUACUUUCAGCGGGGAGGCGGUACCCGCAGAAGAAGCACCGGCUAACUCCGUGCCAGCAGCCGCGGUAAUAC
rnacentral:rRNA from 1 species